CAGUUGUGCCUGAUAGGAGG
rnacentral:piRNA from 1 species